AUGUACUGCUCAUCCCGCACCAGGAACCCGGUUGUAAAUGUACUGCUCAUCCCGCACCAGGAACCCGGUUGUAAAUGUACUGCUCAUCCCGCACCAGGAACUCGGUUGCAUAAAACAUUGGAAGAUAAAGUUUGGUUUAAAUUUAAGUCAGUUGCUCCCCCAAAAAAUGUUAAGGCAAAUUUCCUCCUUAAAUUAAAUGAAAUAUUUAGGUCCCUUAACUGCAUCAUUCAGUAUGGAUAUCAAUGUAAACCGUAUGGAUAUCAAUGUAAACAGUAUGGAUAUCAAUGUAAACAGCAUUCAGUAUGGAUAUCAAUGUAAACAGUAUGGAUAUCAAUGUAAACAUUAUGGAUAUCAAUGUAAACAGCAUCCAGUAUGGAUAUCACUGUAAACAGUAUGGAUAUCAAUGUAAACAGUAUUCAGUAUGGAUAUCAAUGUAAACCGCAUUCAGUAUGGAUAUCAAUGUAAACAGCAUUCAGUAUGGUCCCAUUUAGACCACUGGCAAGGUACAAUACCAGGUGUCUUCGGGUUCCACUCAGAUAGGAUUCUAGACCUGAUUCAAAGUGUUUUCCACAAUAUCAAAUUAAAGUUUAUUUAAAGUGCAUUUAGCAACACACAUUACAUUAAAACAAUAACACAUUACAUUAAAACAACACACAUUACAUUAAAACAACACACAUUACAUUAAAACAACACAUAUUACAUUAAAACAACACACAUUACAUUAAAACAAUAACACAUUACAUUAAAACAAUAACACAAGAAC
rnacentral:lncRNA from 1 species